rnacentral:rRNA from 1 species
CGGCGGACGGGUGAGUAACGCGUGGGUAACCUGCCUCAUACAGGGGGAUAACAGUUGGAAACGGCUGCUAAUACCGCAUAAGCGCACAGUACCGCAUGGUACCGUGUGAAAAACUCCGGUGGUAUGAGAUGGACCCGCGUCUGAUUAGCUAGUUGGUGGGGUAACGGCCUACCAAGGCGACGAUCAGUAGCCGACCUGAGAGGGUGACCGGCCACAUUGGGACUGAGACACGGUCCAAACUCCUACGGGAGGCAGCAUG